rnacentral:rRNA from 1 species
CACCAGACUCCUACGGGAGGCAGCAGUGGGGAAUAUUGCACAAUGGGGGAAACCCUGAUGCAGCGACGCCGCGUGAGCGAUGAAGUAUUUCGGUAUGUAAAGCUCUAUCAGCAGGGAAGAAAAUGACGGUACCUGACUAAGAAGCCCCGGCUAACUACGUGCCAGCAGCCGCGGUAAUACGUAGGGGGCAAGCGUUAUCCGGAUUUACUGGGUGUAAAGGGAGCGUAGACGGCAAUGCAAGCCAGAUGUGAAAGCCCGGGGCUCAACCCCGGGACUGCAUUUGGAACUGUGUAGCUGGAGUGUCGGAGAGGCAGGCGGAAUUCCUAGUGUAGCGGUGAAAUGCGUAGAUAUUAGGAGGAACACCAGUGGCGAAGGCGGCCUGCUGGACCGUAACUGACGUUGAGGCUCGAAAGCGUGGGGAGCAAACAGGAUUAGAUACCCCGGUA